rnacentral:rRNA from 1 species
UACGGAGGGGGCUAGCGUUGUUCGGAAUUACUGGGCGUAAAGCGCACGUAGGCGGAUCAGAAAGUCAGAGGUGAAAUCCCGGGGCUCAACCCCGGAACGGCCUUUGAAACUCCUGAUCUUGAGGUCGAGAGAGGUGAGUGGAAUUCCGAGUGUAGAGGUGAAAUUCGUAGAUAUUCGGAGGAACACCAGUGGCGAAGGCGGCUCACUGGCUCGAUACUGACGCUGAGGUGCGAAAGCGUGGGGAGCAAACAGG